rnacentral:lncRNA from 1 species
GAAGGCAUGUUAAUCUGUUUCUUUUUUUCUUUUUUUGCCUCUCUCCACAAAAUUAAUGUUUGUUCUUCUUCCUCUCUUUCAGGCUGAAAUUUCCAUAGCCUUGUAACUGGUGACAUGAAGCUUCCUACCUAUGAGGUCAGGAAUGUAGCGCUAUAUUUAAUGUUUAUACCAUUGACACGUUAGUCUUUGAACGUCCUCUCGUACAGCUGGCUUUGCCUCUGAGUUCAUUCCACUCUGCAGGAAGUGCUGAGCAGUUGCAGGAAGAGUCUCCAGCCCUUGUCCGUCAUGAGUGGAUCUAGCGUCUAUGGAAACCUUCUGGUGAGAUCACAGGAGUGGUUCAGGCACUAGGUUACAUUGGUUAAGUCACUAGCCAGAUGUAGUGCAGAAGACUCCAGGAGUGACCGAACAAUUCAGUUUCCAGCUGCUGUUCAU